UGGUCGGUUAUUGGUGCUGUGUGGUUGGCGAAGGCGACACAAGUCCGUGUGGCGGCAAAGUUCUCGAUUCUCGAUUCUCCGUUCUCCACUCCAGUUUGCUCCAGUCCCCGAGUCCUGAAAAUCGCGAUAAAACCGAGGACACUCGUGCGUACGUGCGAUUGUGUGUGUGUCUCAUUUGCGAGGGUGUGUGUGCUUGUGCUGCAGUGAGAUGGCAAAUUAUGAAUAAAAUGUAAGCGAAAGUAAGGAAAAGCAAACUGAAUGCGCUGCAGUUUGGCGAAGGAAAAGAAAACUAAUCUUCCCCCCGUUGGAAUCCACGAAUUUAUUCUCAUCAGCGAGUGGAACUUCCCUAGCUUUUCCUACUUAGUUUGACAAAUUAAAAUGCAUAAAUUAUGAACGAAAGUACCGUUACGUGCGUGACAACCAAUCAUUUGUUAUUAUUAUGCACGUGGGCCAGCGAACACAAAAACGGUGUGAGAGCGAAAGGUAAACUUGGCUAAAACACUGCCGCCAACAAACACCCCAUUCCACUGGAGUUCUUUAAAGUUGUCUGGAAAAAUAGAGCUAAGCCAAAAACAUAAGAAGGCAGCGCCGGCAAUAAAUGGUCUUAGGAAAGUUUUGCUGAUAUUUCAAUUAAACUCAGUGCGUUGGGCGACACAAAAAAUAACGAAACAGGAAA